GACGAACGCUGGCGGCGUGCCUAAUACAUGCAAGUCGAACGAACCGCGACUAGGUGCUUGCACUUGGUCAAGGUGAGUGGCGAACGGGUGAGUAACACGUGGGUAACCUACCUCAUAGUGGGGGAUAACAGUCGGAAACGACUGCUAAUACCGCAUAGGACAUAGGAUCACAUGAUUCUGUGAGGAAAGGUGGCGCAAGCUAUCGCUAAGAGAUGGACCCGCGGUGCAUCAGCUAGUUGGUAGGGUAAAGGCCUACCAAGGCGAUGAUGCAUAGCCGACCUGAGAGGGUGAUCGGCCACAUUGGGACUGAGACACGGCCCAAACUCCUACGGGAGGCAGCAGUAGGGAAUCUUCCGCAAUGGACGCAAGUCUGACGGAGCAACGCCGCGUGAGUGAAGAAGGUCUUCGGAUCGUAAAGCUCUGUUGUUAGAGAAGAACAGCGCAUAGAGUAACUGUUAUGCGUGUGACGGUAUCUAACCAGAAAGCCACGGCUAACUACGUG
rnacentral:rRNA from 1 species